rnacentral:lncRNA from 1 species
UUUUUUUAUAGACACUGGAAAUCAGGAAGAUGUAGAGGCAGCAUGGACAGAAGCUUAAUAAAGUAAUUGCUUUAUUCAAGUCUUGUCAGGCAGUGGGAAGCUGAGCAACCUUUUUGGAGAAAACCACCAGGCAGUACCUGCUCCCUACACAGAGCAAUAUCACCUGAUGGAUCCAAGGGCUGCACAGAGCUCUCCAGGGAAAAACUACCUGCUGCAAUUCAGACUGCUACUAACUGAGCGGAUUCAAGGCCACAUUGUUCCCGCCCUCCACUCAAGCGACCUAUCUACAAAACAGCUGAAUUAAUAACAAAAAUAAAAGGAGAAAGACAUCCCA